UUUAUCCUUGCUCAAUGUUGCUUAAUAUACAUUUGUUAUUUUGAGUCUGAUGCAAUAACAAUACAUGGUGUAAACAGGAAACUGAAAGGUGCGCCUCCCACCUGGCACAACCCAGCUUCCUCUUAGGAGGCGCCACAGGGUGCUGACUGUCGGAAUUAAGGAGCAAGAGGAGAUUUUCGCUUUAAUCAGAUCUAGAUUUUUGUGAACCUGAAAAAAAAGAGGUAAAGAUCCAUACUUUUGGAAAAGCUCUGCAUUGGGAUGAGAUGACAGAUGACUUAGAGAUGGGCCUGACAAAAUAAAGGGAAGAGAGUUUAUUUUGACAAAUGGUCAUCUGUUCUCGUUUUUAUUCUGCAAAUGCUGUUGAGAAACCAUCCAAGACUGGUGGGUGUCUUUACAAAAUUAAUGGCCACUAUUUCUGAUCGACGGAGGCGGGGACAGGCGGC
rnacentral:lncRNA from 1 species